CAUUCAAAGGUCCUUCUGCUUCCAUUCUUAACUAAAAUUUACAUUUUCUUUAGAGCCAGGACUUCUGAACCUUCCUAAGUCGGGGCGGGGGGGCUGUUUCUCUCUUAUCCCCACUAUGGUCAGGAUAGGGGAAAGGGAGGGCGACAGCAUACUUUGCUCCUAUUUUGCCUCUUCCAGCCUUUGCUCCUCUGGCCUCCACUGCCGUGCCCCUUUGAUAAUUUUGGCAAAUUGCUCAAACUCCCUUUUCUUGACUGCUGAAUAGAGCUGCUGUCGAUUUACCCAAAUGAGAGCUCCGGUCCUCCCUCCUCACCUUUCCACCCACUCCGAAGCCCACCAGCUCGCUGGGAGACCUACAUUCACCUGCUUGAUCUAUUGAGUGUCCCCAAUCUCAAAGCCUUGUGAUUUGGUCAACUUCAAGGGCCUUUUACUUCUUUUCUUCUUCAGACAACCACAACCACAACCAUACUCUGGACUGCAAAGCCAGCUUUGGAAUGGCUUCAUCUUUGGAGUGUGGUUUGGACAGUCCACUUUCUUCAGGCUUCAGGAGAUAGAAUUCAGGACCUGGUGCUUGCAAGGCAGGUGUGGUGCACUGAGCUAUGUCCUGGCCCUUGUUUUAAUCUGUUUUUCACUGAUGAGUGAUCUUCUGGGGACAGGAAUCUAUUUUGCCUCAUAUGUGAACUGCAGGAAGUAGUUGCUAAAUUAAAGACUGCUGGCUUCUCAAGACUUACUAGAUUCUGGAAUGAGAUCUAACAAGAAGGACGAGACUUUCUUGACUGCGUGAUUUAAUAUUUCAGGUGUGUCUAGUCCUGGCCUCAGGUGUGGACACGAGGAAUAUGCGCUUUGUGCGCCACUUGCUAUUCUGCAGAGCAGAAGGAAAUUACAUUUUUUGAGCUGUGAUUAAAAUGUUAACUCUCUGGCUCCUGCAGUCU